CCUACGGGUGGCUGCAGUGGGGAAUUUUCCGCAAUGGGCGAAAGCCUGACGGAGCAAUACCGCGUGAGGGAUGACGGCCUAUGGGUUGUAAACCUCUUUUUUCAGGGAGGAAAAAAAUGACGUUACCUGAAGAAUAAGCAUCGGCUAACUCCGUGCCAGCAGCCGCGGUAAGACGGGGGAUGCAAGUGUUAUCCGGAAUCACUGGGCGUAAAGCGUCUGUAGGUGGUUUAAUAAGUCAACUGUUAAAUCUUGAGGCUCAACCUCAAAACCGCAGUCGAAACUAUUAGACUAGAGUAUAGUAGGGGUAAAGGGAAUUUCCAGUGGAGCGGUGAAAUGCGUAGAGAUUGGAAAGAACACCGAUGGCGAAGGCACUUUACUGGGCUAUUACUAACACUGAGAGACGAAAGCUAGGGUAGCAAAUGGGAUUAGAUACCCGAGUAGUC
rnacentral:rRNA from 1 species